rnacentral:rRNA from 1 species
CCCGCUGAACUUAAGCAUAUCAAUAAGCGGAGGAAAAGAAACUAACAAGGAUUCCCCUAGUAACUGCGAGUGAAGCGGGAAAAGCUCAAAUUUAAAAUCUGGCGGUCUCGCGGCCGUCCGAGUUGUAAUCUGGAGAAGCGUCUAUCCGCGUCGGACCGUGUACAAGUCUUCUGGAAGGGAGCGUCGUAGAGGGUGAGAAUCCCGUCUUUGACACGGACAACCGAUGCUUUUGUGAUGCGCUCUCGAAGAGUCGAGUUGUUUGGGAAUGCAGCUCAAAAUGGGUGGUAAAUUCCAUCUAAAGCUAAAUAUUGGCGAGAGACCGAUAGCGAACAAGUACCGUGAGGGAAAGAUGAAAAGCACUUUGGAAAGAGAGUUAAACGGUACGUGAAAUUGUUGAAAGGGAAACGUUUGAAGUCAGUCGCGUCGGCCGAGACUCAACCUUGCGCUCGCGCUCGGUGCACUUCUCGGUUGACGGGUCAGCAUCAAUUUCGACCGCCGGACAAAGGUUGGGGGAAUGUGGCAUCCUUCGGGAUGUGUUAUAGACCUCGAUUCGGAUACGGCGAUUGGGAUUGAGGAACUCGGCGCUUUGCGUCCAGGAUGCUGGCAUAAUGGCUUUAAGCGACCCGUCUUGAAACACGG